UUCAGGUCAUUGGUGGGCAUAGCAUAUCUGGGAAGGAUAUCCGCAAAAUCCUUGCCCUCCUCUGAAGUGAGAAAGUUGGGAGUAGGCAACAGUACAGCUCACUACUGUUGACCACUGUUUCGUCAAUGCUAAAUGAGAAGGGACCAACUUCCUUUUUUGAUCUCAAUGGGAAUAACUCUGGGAUCGUAAUUAGAACACCUCCAGUGGCCUCUCAAUAAGGGUGGUUCUUUUUCAUGUUGGCUUAGGGUAGAGAACUUCCCAAGGAGUGGAGCAAUGGGUCUUUUCAGUUUACUUACAGAAAAUGGUAGGGGGUGUGUGGCUUUGGUUGCAAGGGACAAGCUUAUUUAUGAGACGUUAAAUCUGAAGCGACAAUGUGUCCCACUGCAUGUUAAUCUAGUUAGAAAAAAAUGGUAUUUUCUUUGUAUAACUCAUAGCAU